AUGGAGAGUUUGAUCCUGGCUCAGGACGAACGCUGGCGGCGUGCUUAACACAUGCAAGUCGAACGAGAAGAGAU
rnacentral:rRNA from 1 species